rnacentral:misc_RNA from 1 species
GUGAAUCAUCAAAUCUUUGAACGCAAAUUGCACUCUCCUCGGAGAGUAUGCCUGUUUGAGGGUCAGCCUAUAAAAAUUGACCACGUUGCUGUUUCGCGGUGGCGUUCGUCGGAAAUUUGGGCAUCUUAAAUCCUUUUUAUUUAAGCGCCUCAAAAAUUUCUUUUUGGUUUCUUGUACGCUUCUAAGAUUUAUUUCUUUUCACGCUUAAGGAAUCGAUUGUUAUUAUACGUGACCAUCAUAUCUGAGCGCGC